rnacentral:lncRNA from 1 species
GAGCGCUACGACUCAAAUUAGUGCAAGAAGAUAAAAGAGAAGGAAAAGAAUACAAAAGAAGAAAAGGGGGCUCUCUGUAAAGAAGAAUCCGAUUUCAUUGAUUAAAUAAUUUUUAAGUACAAGAGAAUGAAGAAAAGUCGCCACAAAGGAAAAAUAAAAACUUAGAGGUUUCGGACCUCUGAAAUAGAAGUGGAGGAGCUCGGUGCCCC